UACGUAGGGUGCGAGCGUUAAUCGGAAUUACUGGGCGUAAAGCGUGCGCAGGCGGCUUUGCAAGACAGAUGUGAAAUCCCCGGGCUCAACCUGGGAACUGCAUUUGUGACUGCAAGGCUAGAGUACGGCAGAGGGGGAUGGAAUUCCGCGUGUAGCAGUGAAAUGCGUAGAUAUGCGGAGGAACACCAAUGGCGAAGGCAAUCCCCUGGGCUUGUACUGACGCUCAUGCACGAAAGCGUGGGGAGCAAACAGG
rnacentral:rRNA from 1 species